UGGGGAGCAGCUGUAAAUACAGAUGAAGCUUCACUUGCUCACCUGCCACUCACCUCCUGCUGUGCAGCCCAGUUCCUACCAGGCCAUGGACCGGUACUGGUCCAUGGCCCUGGGGGUUGGGGAGCCCUGGUUUAGAUGAUAUUAAACCCACACCUGGCCUGGCUGAUGAGAACAUUACAUCCUUCAGCUGCCAGGAUGGACCAACAUAAGUGAUCCAACUAAAACCAAUGACUUUUGCUGGGAAGACAGGUGAAGAGACAGAGAGAAAAAAACAGAGAGAAACUGUUUUGUCUUCUCAUUUUCUUGUCAUCCAGAAGCCUGGAUUAAUCGGAACCAGGUUGCCACCCAGAGGGAGAGGCAUGAACUGAGUGAUCAUAGAGAUAAAACAAGGGAAGUAGAACUGAAGGAUGGAGAGAAACCAGGACCUGACAAUUACUGGUGACAUCAUUUGAGCCCAAAUCCAGCCAUGUCUACAGACACUGAUAGCAGCAAGGGGCAGACAAAUGCCUGUGCAAAUGGGGCACAUCCCUGGUGAAAUACACCUUCAAGCUAAAAAACAACCUGAAGGCUGAAAGGCUGGACUCCUGGUCCUGGAUGAAACCCAGACCCAGAGUGAGAACUUCUGUUUGUGUUUGCCUGCCCUUUCCUGAUUGAUUCUUUCUGAAUAAUGCCUUUUAACCAAUCAAAUGUUGCCUUUCCAUUACUACCUAUGGCCUGCCCCUCCCCUAUUCUAAGCCCAUAAAAGCCCAAGACUCAGCCACAUUGGGGGUACUUUCCUGCCUUUUAGAGGGACCACCCCCAUGUUCCCUCUCCCUGGAAAGCUGUUUUGUCACUGAAUAAAACUCUCCACUUUGCCCACUCUUUGACUGUCAGUGUAUCUUCAUUCUUCUUGGACACUGGACAAGAACUCAGGAACUAGUGCACAAACCGGAGUCAGCCCGGGUAGGAUGAUUUGACAGAGCACCUCCUACAGCAGGUAGCAUGC
rnacentral:lncRNA from 1 species